CUCAGGCUGCGAACCCACACUC
rnacentral:siRNA from 1 species